rnacentral:rRNA from 1 species
CAGCCGUAAACUAUGCGCGUUAGGUGUAUCGGUGACCACGAGUUACCGAGGUGCCGAAGGGAAACCGUGAAACGUGCCGCCUGGGAAGUACGGUCGCAAGGCUGAAACUUAAAGGAAUUGGCGGGGGGAGCACCACAACGGGUGGAGCCUGCGGUUUAAUUUGGACUCAACGCCGGGAAGCUCACCGGAUAAGACAGCGGAAUGAUUGCCGGGCUGAAGACUCUGCAUGACUAGCUGAGAGGAGGUGCAUGGCGUAGACGUCU